CUAAGGCCGAUGGCGACCGGCGCACGGGUGAGUAACACGUAUCCAACCUGCCGAUAACUCGGGGAUAGCCUUUCGAAAGAAAGAUUAAUACCCGAUGGUAUAAUUAGACCGCAUGGUCUUGUUAUUAAAGAAUUUCGGUUAUCGAUGGGGAUGCGUUCCAUUAGGCAGUUGGUGAGGUAACGGCUCACCAAACCUUCGAUGGAUAGGGGUUCUGAGAGGAAGGUCCCCCACAUUGGAACUGAGACACGGUCCAA
rnacentral:rRNA from 1 species